rnacentral:rRNA from 1 species
UACGUAGGGUGCGAGCGUUAAUCGGAAUUACUGGGCGUAAAGCGUGCGCAGGCGGUCUGUUAAGACCGAUGUGAAAUCCCCGGGCUUAACCUGGGAACUGCAUUGGUGACUGGCAGGCUUUGAGUGUGGCAGAGGGAGGUAGAAUUCCACGUGUAGCAGUGAAAUGCGUGGAGAUGUGGAGGAAUACCGAUGGCGAAGGCAGCCUCCUGGGCCAACACUGACGCUCAUGCACGAAAGCGUGGGAGCAAACAGG